UAUUCCAAUUAUAGUACCUUUUCACAUUUCGUCAGGAGCACGAGCGGCGCUCCGCCUAUGUUAUCACCACAAUCGGCCGCUCGCGAGCCGUGGACUAUAAGAACGGAGUCGAAUCGAGCGAAACGAAUUAUUACAUUAUGCCAGUCUUAAUUUCUGUGCCUGUCAAGUAUCGACAAAAGUUGCAAUCGCUAUACUGAAAGGCGUGAGAGACUGAAUUAGUAUGUUGCCUACAUUAAUACUCCAGGACUGCAUUCACGAAGCACUUACUUUCCACGAACUGCCUUUUACUGGUCGGUCCGUCUUCUCACGAGCUAGCAUUGCGCAUCAACGGUUCCACGAAUUUUAUUUCUUGGUGGUGUUUUACGUCGCAACCCAGUCGGUCAGACGCAGUUGGAAAAAAAGCAAAAGUGAAAAGAAUACCUGCGUCGCCUCGAAUGCAUUAUCGCAGGGGGGACAGUUCAGGCUUCAGUCUUUCACCCUUCGCCUGCUGCAGACCGGGUCCUAUCCCAGCCUAGCCAGGGUCAGCAGAACCAGGAUCAUCUCACCACGGAAGACGAGUGGCAGGAGGCGCUCAAGAGCUCCAACCUCGCCGCUCCAGCUACGGGCCAUCCAGAGGGCCCGCGGCGCGGCGGUCGGGCACGGCCUGCCCGUCCCGACGUGGGAGCGGCCCGCAGCGGCUCCUCCCUCGUAAGGGGGUUUCGGAGUCGCUCCUCGGGACCUUGAUGAAGUUCACUGCCUGCCUGCCUGUCAGAUAUUGAAACACAUUCCUCCGGUAACAAAUUCCAAUCUGUCACAGUUUGUGGAAAAAAGGAUUUGGCAAAACGCCCCGUUUUGCCAGAUCCUUUUUUACAGCUGAAUUCUCGCACCUUCUUUGAGUGGUCGAGUCGAGCGAAGACGUAAGUUGGCUCCGACAGGUACUUGCGGCUAUCAGUGCCAGUUUGAUAUAGAAAAUACGGUGAAAGAAUUUCAGUUUUAAAUUUUUUCUUCUGGUGAUUAAUGUUUUCCAGCCCAGCAAUGCUUUUAUUUCAGUGAUACUUUCGAGAGGGUUGUAAUCAUUGGAGACGAAGCGUGCAGCCUGAUUUUCAAGUUCUUCUAUUACUUGCAUCAAAUAUUCCUGAUAUGGGUCCCAAAUCAUAGAGGCACAACCGAGGAUAGAUCUGACAUGAAAAAAAUGAAGUGUUUCUUGAACUUCUUUGGACGCUGAUCUGAAAUUUCUACGAAUAAAAAACAUUUUACUUGCCUC